rnacentral:rRNA from 1 species
UACGAAGGGGGCUAGCGUUGCUCGGAAUCACUGGGCGUAAAGGGUGCGUAGGCGGAUUUGCCAGUCAGGGGUGAAAUCCCGGGGCUCAACCUCGGAACUGCCUUUGAUACAGCAAGUCUUGAGUUCGAGAGAGGUGGGUGGAAUUCCUAGUGUAGAGGUGAAAUUCGUAGAUAUUAGGAAGAACACCGGUGGCGAAGGCGGCCCACUGGCUCGAUACUGACGCUGAGGUGCGAAAGCGUGGGAAGCAAACAGG